rnacentral:rRNA from 1 species
GACGAACGCUGGCGGCGUGCUUAACACAUGCAAGUCGAACGGGUCUGCCCUGUUUUUUGCGGGGUGGGUCAGUGGCGAACGGGUGAGUAACACGUGAGUAACCUGCCCCUCACUUCUGGAUAACCGCUUGAAAGGGUGGCUAAUACGGGGUGUUCUGGCUGUGCCGCAUGGUGUGGCUGGGAAAGAUUCACUUUUGUGGUGUUUUGGUGGGGGAUGGGCUCGCGGCCUAUCAGCUUGUUGGUGGGGUGAUGGCCUGCCAAGGCUUUGACGGGUAGCCGGCCUGAGAGGGUGGGCGGUCACACUGGGACUGAGAUACGGCCCAGACUCCUGCGGGAGGCAGCAGUGGGGGGUAUUGCACAAUGGGCGGAAGCCUGAUGCAGCGACGUCGCGUGAGGGAUGGAGGCCUUCGGGUUGUGAACCUCUUUCGCCGGUGAAGAAGGUCCUGCUCUUUGUGGUGGGGUUGAUGGUAGCCGGGUUAUGAAGCGCCGGCUAACUACGUG